GACGAACGCUGGCGGCGUGCUUAACACAUGCAAGUCGAACGGAAAGGCCCUGCUUGCAGGGUACUCGAGUGGCGAACGGGUGAGUAACACGUGGGUGAUCUGCCCUGCACUUCGGGAUAAGCUUGGGAAACUGGGUCUAAUACCGGAUAGGACCGCACUUUAGUGUGUGUGGUGGAAAGUUUUUUCGGUGUAGGAUGAGCUCGCGGCCUAUCAGCUUGUUGGUGGGGUAAUGGCCUACCAAGGCGGCGACGGGUAGCCGGCCUGAGAGGGUGUACGGCCACAUUGGGACUGAGAUACGGCCCAGACUCCUACGGGAGGCAGCAGUGGGGAAUAUUGCACAAUGGGCGCAAGCCUGAUGCAGCGACGCCGCGUGGGGGAUGAAGGCCUUCGGGUUGUAAACUCCUUUCGCUAGGGACGAAGCUUUUUGUGACGGUACCUAGAGAAGAAGCACCGGCUAACUACGUG
rnacentral:rRNA from 1 species